AUUGAACGCUGGCGGCAGGCCUAACACAUGCAAGUCGAACGGUAGCACAGAGAGCUUGCUCUUGGGUGACGAGUGGCGGACGGGUGAGUAAUGUCUGGGAAACUGCCCGAUGGAGGGGGAUAACUACUGGAAACGGUAGCUAAUACCGCAUAACGUCUUCGGACCAAAGUGGGGGACCUUCGGGCCUCACACCAUCGGAUGUGGCCAGAUGGGAUUAGCUAGUAGGUGGGGUAAAGGCUCACCUAGGCGACGACCCCUGGCUGGUCUGAGAGGAUGACCAGCCACACUGGAACUGAGACACGGUCCAGACUCCUACGGGAGGCAGCAGUGGGGAAUAUUGCACAAUGGGCGCAAGCCUGAUGCAGCCAUGCCGCGUGUAUGAAGAAGGCCUUCGGGUUGUAAAGUACUUUCAGCGGGGAGGAAGGCGUUAAGGUUAAUAACCUUGGCGAUUGACGUUACCCGCAGAAGAAGCACCGGCUAACUCCGUGCCAGCCGCCGCAGUAA
rnacentral:rRNA from 1 species